rnacentral:lncRNA from 1 species
AUCUUAUAACAAAUUUUCUUUAGAGAGGUGCUGCAUGUGGCUCGAAGCGGUUGAUCGAGACUAGGGCUCGUGGCGCGGUUCGACAGGGUAGCCAGUGGAAUGAAUCGACAUUUGCCACUGUGUCCGUUAUUACUGGUGUAUAUCAUUCCUCUUGAGAAAACCCAAUGGAAUGACGCUUCGGCCAGCCAAAAAAACACUGAGGGCGCAGGGUGACGGUGCGAUACCGACAGUCGGGGCAGACGAUAAAAGGGUCUUUUUCGCCACUAGUCAAAUACCUUGGGUAUAGAUUUGGCUGUCUCGUGUAUUGUUGCCCGUUGGUGCUGCAAAAGACAUCGGCUCCGGCAACUGAUCCGGGCAAGAUAUUGGAGUUCCCACGUCAGAAAUCAGAAAAGGACUGGAUUAACGGAACAGGACAGCCGUUCUGGGCUUUGUUGCUCCCGGCACCAGUAAAUUCUUUCAUUUGGUAUGUGAGUGCCAAAAAAAAUGCCAAACAGUGGGUUCUCUGCGCGAGACACUAUGUAUGUCUUUGCUCGGACAGUAAUUCUUUCUUGGAUGGUGAGAACUUGCUGAGACCGAGAUUUUUUACUAUGUUAUGUUGUACAUAUCUACUGUCAGCGCUUGCUAGCACUUCGUCUUUUCGCACAUCCGGAGUGAUGGCAACUUCGGCUGGGUGCGUGGUAUCUGUUCUUCGCGUCAGCUUAUGCUCGCCUUCCAUGAGAUAACUAAAGAGUCAGGGCUCUACGAAGUUCCAAAAAGUCAACGGCCUAGGUUAUGGUAGCUGUCUCUUCCUAUUAGUAGCCGUAAGGCACUUCUCUUCAAUGGGAAACGAGCGAACUCCUUUGAGAAGUUGCCUCCGUCAAUGCAUUUUUCUGAAGAACUGGAUGUCAAAAGAGACAAUAUGGAGCGAAAGAUGUCAUGUACCAUCACAGGAAAUUCCCAUUUGUAGAUGUUCAUUGUUGUUCAAACAAAAGAAGGGCUUCUUUGCUGACCGCGUCAGGCUGGGGCAGAUAAACGAGUCAUGGAAUCAUCCGGAUGCUAGUCACAGUGGGGGUUAUCCUUCUCCGCGAGAACUUUAUGCCUAUUGACGUGCGGCAGAUAGGCAGGGAAUGGUCAACUGUGCGACACCUGGGAACAUCUUCCAGAACUUUUUGCAGAACACUUGAGAAGCGUAGGCCGGCGUCUUCGAGUAUGUAGAUGACUGCAACAACUCCUCGCCUCCUCGGCGCCAAGAGGCCAACGGCCACCUGAGACCUCGAAAAAGUUUGGUCCUGGGUCUCCUCUAGGAUAGCCUGGUGGAAAGAGUUUUCCAUUUCCUCCAUGCACUCACGCUGCUGACUCUGGCACACAUCAUUCAGGAGCGUCCUCGCAGCAACAUCCAGGAACACAGAUAUUUCAGCUGUUCCACCCGGUAUUGCGGCCGCAGUGGAUGAAGGACGCAGAGUAGAGACGACGGUGAUACUCGCCGAAGCCGACGAUGUCGAUGUAGUCGUGACUGUAGUUGUUCGUGUGCUUGUGGACAGGGUCGUUGUGGGCCGAUUGGUAGAAGUCGGAGUCGUUGUACUUUGCGUUGUGCUGGUCCGUGUCGUUGAUGUUGUUGUUCGUUUGGUUGUUGGUGUCGUGCUUGUUCGUGUCGUUGAUGUUGUCGUUCGUUUUGUUGUUGUCCUUCGGGUUGUAGUGUACGGAGGCCGUCUUGUCGUAGUUGUUGUUAGUCCGGGUGCGACCUUAUACGUUCUCACGAACAUCCAAAAAGUGUCUAAUGCACGAAAUACCAGCGUUUUCUUCCCGUGUUUGACGAGAAUCUUUUUCAAAAGAUCUAUUUCGUUAUCAUCUGUACUUUCUCCGAAGUCUGUUCCUUUAUGCAGCACAUCAUCAAUCUCCCGCAAGAGGUGAUCAAGAACGGCUUCGUCGUUCAGACCUUUUCGUCUGUCGUUUGCAACAAGCUGUAGAAAGCUGGUCGCAAUUCGGCUGUCCUCGUCAUACUCUAUUGCAGGUGUCACGAGUGAUUCGAAGAGCCCGAGCAACCUGGAAGGAUUUUUGUCGAAGUCCUCGGGAACUGACUGCCUUUUUCCGGUAUUAUCAGGUAGAGUCGGCGAGGUUCCCACAUCAACCUUCUGCGCGGCGUUCUCCAAUGACAAAGCGAAGUCCCUCAAUGCAGCGGUCGUCCCAUUAGCGGAUACCAAGCCUGCUGAAAAGGAACCAAUCACAUGGAGCACAACUGCUGGCGGAUGAAAAGACAGCACCCGCGUCAGUGAUAGUCUGAGUCGCCCCGCCGGUUCCCCCCCGUUGGGGACGGCAAACCAAAAGCAACCCAAGACGGUUAUGCUAUCAUGUCACUUACCAAGACAAAGGGCAAGAGUGUGGUUUAAUACUUUCAUGACGGUGUGUACAGGAAGAGGAUUGUGUAAAACAAGAAAUAAAUGCGAUCACGCGCCCCUUGUCUUCCAAAAUAGCUGCGGGGGGGUGGGGGGGGGGGAUAUCUCAAAGAACACUCUGUACGGGGGAACCUCUAACCUCGUUGCAACAUAUAUUAACCCGAUGAACAAAAACGUAGAUGUAUUAAACAAACGAACAAGUGGAAAGUGUGUGUCUUGGAUUAGCACACCAAAAGAGCACAACCUCUUCUCCUCGGCGAUGACGUGUCCGUAGUAAGUAAUAAACAUUGUGGAGAGCAUGCUAGCCAAGGCCACCGUGAGUCGAGUGCUGGCUCCAACACAGGACGUAGCCCUCGUGCAUUGCUGGCAGCCGACAGCUCUCAACGGAGUGUGCGGCUGAACUGGGGGGCUAGCAUCUUUCUUAGAGUAUCU